rnacentral:rRNA from 1 species
CAGUAGCCACGGGAAUACAGAGGGUGCAAGCGUUAAUCGGAAUUACUGGGCGUAAAGCGCGCGUAGGUGGUUUGUUAAGUUGGAUGUGAAAUCCCCGGGCUCAACCUGGGAACUGCAUCCAAAACUGGCAAGCUAGAGUAUGGUAGAGGGUGGUGGAAUUUCCUGUGUAGCGGUGAAAUGCGUAGAUAUAGGAAGGAACACCAGUGGCGAAGGCGGCCCCCUGGACAAAGACUGACGCUCAGGUGCGAAAGCGUGGGGAGCAAACAGGAUUAGAUACCCGCGUAGUCCCUGUCUCUUAUAC